rnacentral:lncRNA from 1 species
UUUUAUUGAAGUGAUAAGGCAACUUUAAUAAGUCAACUUUGAAUUGGUUUUUAUUAUCUUUCAAACAUUUUCGAAAUUUAAAAAGAAAAUGUCUUAAAAACCAACUUUUCACCACCAAUAAUUGCAGUAGACAUUUUUAAUACAUGGAAAAAAACAUCUAAAACUCUUAAAAAUAAAAAUAUCUAAGACUUAAUUAAAAGACUUCAAAAAUUAACUAGAUGUUGAAUAUUACUAAAUUACUUGACGUACAAAUCAGAAAGAUUCUUAAUGCAUUUAUCAAAUUGUUCCUUAUCAUACGAAUACCAGUCAUGACAUUCUUCGAUGCAACAGUCCUUAAGGCAGUUUUUCCUUUUUACUGGAUUAGAUGGAUGUCGUUUCUGACAUUGUACCAUACAGUUUAUCAUCAUAGGUGAAAGAGAAUAAUACACUGAUACAAUAUUAUACGAUUUACCAAUGGUGUUAUAAGAUUCAUUGCUGGUAGAGCAAAUAAUCAUUCCAAUUAUCAACAUUG